GGAAUGUAAACAAGUGCUGGUCCGCAUUCUGGGGAGAAAAACAGAUGAAAAACCUGUCUCUGUCUUUAGUUUAUGUCUCCGGUACUCACGGGAAGCCGAGGACUGAUCUCUGCGGAGCAUCUGUGACAGAAGAACCGGCUGGGCCAUGGAGGAGCUUCAGCCAUCUUUAACCACUAAACAGGUAGAGAGGAGGAGGAGGAGGAGGAGGAGGAGGAGGAGGAGGAGGAAGGGCUACGGAGCACCGCGAAGGUCAAAUUAAACUCCGAGAAAAUACGACGAG